GGUGACGUCAGCGGCGAGCGCGGUCUUCGGAAAGCGGCCCACUUUCGGGAGCGGGCUCCGGGCUCCGGGCAGCGGAGUGCCGGGCUUUGGCUCAGCGGGCUUCGACGCAAGAGGACUUCGGCAAGAAGAAAUCAUUAAAGAAAAGGUUGUUGAAAGUAAAUCCAUUGUCUGUGAUAUAUCACGGCAUGCGAUGACGUCACACCCAGUUUCGCUGUGUCUUGUGAGAAAAUACCGGUUUGGAGAAACAGGAAGGAGGGGUCUUGUGUGUGCAGGAUCAGCGCAAGAAAAGUUUUCUUUCUAUGCACUAGAAACAUCGUAGAAGCAACGCCCCCAUUUCCCCACUUACUCCUGCAACAGACACUCCUUUCUGCACUUCCUCAACGGAGAAUAGGUAGACAGAAAAAAGAUCACGCACAAAGCCUCCUUGAAGCACAACAGCCCCGGACUCCUGACUACUCAAAUUGAACAACCCGCUGAGACAGCACUGAGAAUCAAUGCCAUGCAUCUGGACAGAGGUCCUGGCACAGUCAUGAAGGGAAACUAAUGGAACGUCACAGGCCGUACCAUCAAAGCUAAAAUGGACUAAAAAGAUCCAGUGUUGACAACUGGCUGAGAUUUGAUGUAGUUGCAGAUCAUCUGCAGGAAGAGCUGGCUUGUCGUCACAAACCCCAUUUCAGCCCAUUUCCCCGAAGAACCAAGGAAGAGGAGACCAAGGACACCACACCCAAAAGGAAAUGAAUUCUCCUGAAAACUUUGGGUGUGCCACAUUUACAGAUAAUGCUAAAAAUAAACGUUUGUAGCAGCUCAUAUUACUGAGUGCUCUAAACCCGCGUGAGACAGCUGUGAACGAGGCCAUUCAACCCUGCAAAGCUGUCCUGCCUCUUGAUGAGGUCAUGGCUGAUCUGUACCUCACAAAGAAACUAUUUUGGGUUUUAAAAGGUGGCAGUCAAAUUAAACACUCACCUACAAAAGGCUUUUUAUUCUGGCUGGUGCCUCAUGUUAAAGUGUAUAGCAGGAAUAUGCCAAUAUUAAUAUUAAGUUGGUGUGACUGAAGUAUUGGAUCAUUUAAAAGGAUGGAUUUUAUCCAGUCUCUA